rnacentral:lncRNA from 10 species
GUCCCGGGAGCCCGGCCUCGUGCGCCGCGCUUUGAGGUGAGCCUCUCUGAGAAAUUUGUGAGGAGGGUCCAGCCGCGGGUCGGAAGGAAGGACGUGGGGAGCGAGGCUCGAGCGAGCGACAGCGAGUGCGAAGGUCGGGUGGCAGGGAAUUGCUCUCGCGCUGCAGGAUUUGCCCGGACGCCGGGGCCGGGGGUGGGGGCGGGAGGCCGCCCUGAGGUGAGGUGGGCGCGGGCCGUCGGCUCCAGUGCGAGACCAGGGGGAGGGCGGGGCGGAGCGGAGGAGCCGAGGGCGCCGCCGGCGUCCCUGGGAAGCUGAGCGCCGCGUAGCUUCGCCGGGGGGAGUGGGGUAGGCGCGGUGAGGCCGUGGGCCCCCACACCUGGCGGACCACAGGGGCCAGAAGCCCUGGAGCCCCGCCAGGGAAGGGCUGCGUCGCUGGCCAGGACCGAGCGCGGUAGAGCCUCAGCUGCUCACGGGGUCGCUGGAGUUGGGGGUGGCCCCAGGAGAAAUUAAAGGUGAAAAGCCUUAGCAGCAGAGGGAAGAGGAAGAUGGAGGCAGAGCGAGUGACCGAACUUGGAAGGGACAGCCGGGCGCAACAGGGCAGGGGGCGUCUGACUGUUGGAAACAUGGCUGACGUCUGGAGGCUGCAGCCAGUGGUCCGUAAGUCAGGUCAAGGACCCACAGAAGACCCCAGCAUGUCUUCACCUGGCCCACAGAAGCCCUGACAUCCAGUUACAACUGCCCCAGCCUAGUGAGCAUUUCGGCACCCACUCCUCAAUUCCUACCCCCAGCCUAACUUCGAAGGGGCGGUGAGCCACAGCAAGCCGGAGGAGAAAGUUGGAAGAGAGAGUGGACAAAAGAAUACCCACAGGCACCUUCCCCACAGUGGAAUAGCGGGGUUUUAGACAAUCAAGGAUAAUCACCUCUUCCUAUCCCAGUUCAGAAACGGAUGAAAAAGACACAGCAAUAAGAUGGGUGGGUAUCAAAAUAUCAGCUUUGCCACAAAUUAAAAACCUAGCUUGAAGGACAAGGCUUAAAUCUGCAAGCAAGAGGGCAAGCUACUAAAUCACCCGUUAAGUCAGACAAACAUAUCCCCCAGCCUCUAGGCCAUGAAACUGCCUCACCAAGCACUAUGCAAUUGAGUGCCCACCAGAAGACACCCCUCCAGUCAACCCACAGACCCCAGAAAGAGUACCCAGAGGAGCCUGAGCACACUCCACCCUAUCUGUUCUCUGAAAUUCAAUCAAAUGAGUCACUCUACUUCUCUGGAAGCAGAAAGAGGCUGGAAGUUUUUCUCCAGCACCCACCUCUCAAGAUUCCUGCCCUACAUGCCAUUCUUAAAAGAAAAUGUGACCAGAUCACUUCUCUGCCUAAUCUUCAACAACGGGUUCUCACAGCUCUCAGAAGAAGGUGACAAGAAUCUCUGACCUCACCCUGCUGGCCUGUUCCCCUCACCUGGCCACACAACCAAGCUGGUACCUCCACGCUUUCAUCAUGUCCUCUCAAGUACACUGUCUCCAGCUACACCCCUGCACUCCUCUCCGGGAAUUCUGUUUCUCCUCUACCCAACCAGACCCUGUUCCAUCCUCUGUUUUUUCCUUGCUACCAAUUCAGGCCCACGCCUCAUGCACAUUCUCUGAGAAUUAUGUACAUAAGUACCUGACUCUCCUGGAUGUAAGCUGGGUGGGCUUAGCAGGCAGAGGCCCUGUGUCUUACUUUAUCUCUGCAUCACUGAUGUCUGGCACAUCAAGGACUGCAAGUUUGCUGAGAGAAUGAAUCGCCUUUUAUACAUGGAAAUGUAAGCUCUAAACUGCCUCAGAGCAUAUGCUGGUGGGUGACAAUCUGAGGAGGUCAUGAAUAUAGGAGAAUAUUGAAGAGGUCACACAGGGGAAACAACUUUUCAUUAUGAAAAACUGGGAGACUGACAUUUAAAUGGUUUAUCUGCAUGAUUAAAUUAAUCACAUUUCCAACAGUGCAUCAAGCAUCUGAGAAUAACAUUAUUUUGAGUAAAAACAGAAACUCUUCGGGAGAGACCCCCUCCCCACAGGUCAGGCUGCUCAAAUGUCCACCAUGUCUAGCAGCGCAGAGAGAUGGAGCUCAGAGGCAACUUCCUCUUCCCUUGAACUCCGGAUCAGCCUUUCCAGGUGCUUUAGUCGUUCGCCUAGACACGUUCCUGUCGCCUCUGACAGCUGCAGUUGCUCCCUCAUCAUGUCACUCUAUUUGAAUAAAAAAGAAACUGAACA